CAAAACACGGCAAACACACUCUCAUUUUCGUUUCUCACAAUCCCUACGUCUCGCUUUCCUUCCACUCCUUUACCUUUUCCCUCACUGCAUCUCUCUUUUCCGACUACCGUGGGUCUGCAUCUUGACUCUCUACGCCGUGCGCGAGUACAUCUGUCGUCUGUGGUCUUCUGUGCGUGGUGCGUCUGUGGUGCAGUCUCUGGUCUGCCGUCUUCAAAGGUUCAAACCCUCACGCUGUCGUUUUAGAGAACUCAUCUUCCUUCGACUAGAGUUGCUGUGGAAUUUGCAAGUCAAUAGAGAAGAUCAAAUUUGUACUACCAGAUUGUGAAUGGAAAGCACAAGUUAUGGAGCUAUGACAUCUUUUGCACGCAUUCUUUUGCAUUAGAAUAGAGGGGAUGAUAAAAAAAAAAAAAAAGGAUCAAUAGAGGGGAUGUUAUUUUUUUGGAUAUGAUACUUGAUUGAGAGUAUAAUAGCAUCAAAUGUAUUAUUUGCCUCAAAAGGAUUAUAGACUUUUGAAGUAAUUUGUACACUUGACGUUUUAAUCAAGGCAAAUUUUACAUUCCACGA